ACGCACGCUGGCGGCGUGCUUAACCCCUGCAAGUCGCACGGAAAGGCCCUGCUUGCAGGGUGCUUGAGUGGCGAACGGGUGAGUAACACGUGGGUGAUCUGCCCCUUACUUUGGGAUAAGCCUGGGAAACUGGGUCUAAUACUGGAUAGGACCAUGCUGUAGGUGGUGUGGUGGAAAGAUUAGUUUCGGUAAGGGAUGAGCUCGCGGCCUAUCAGCUUGUUGGUGGGGUAAUGGCCUACCAAGGCGUCGACGGGUAGCCGGCCUGAGAGGGUGGACGGCCACAUUGGGACUGAGAUACGGCCCAGACUCCUACGGGAGGCAGCAGUGGGGAAUAUUGCACAAUGGGCGCAAGCCUGAUGCAGCGACGCCGCGUGGGGGAUGACGGCCUUCGGGUUGUAAACUCCUUUCAGCCAUGACGAAGCCCUUGUGGUGACGGUAGUGGUAGAAGAAGCACCGGCUAACUACGUG
rnacentral:rRNA from 1 species